GCUUAACACGUGCCAGUCGAGGGGCAGCGGUAUCAAAAGCUUGCUUUCGGUAGCCGGCGACCGGCGCACGGGUGAGUAACGCGUAUCGAACCUGCCUCAUACUCGGGAAUAGCCUUGCGAAAGUAAGAUUAAUGCCCGGUGUUUUCAGAGUCCCGCAUGAGGCUUUGAACAAAGAUUUAUCGGUAUGAGAUGGCGAUGCGUCCCAUUAGCUUGUUGGCGGGGUAACGGCCCACCAAGGCAUCGAUGGGUAGGGGUUCUGAGAGGAAGGUCCCCCACAUUGGAACUGAGACACGGUCCAAACUCCUACGGGAGGCAGCAGUGAGGAAUAUUGGUCAAUGGGCGGAAGCCUGAACCAGCCAAGUAGCGUGCAGGAAGACGGCCCUCCGGGUUGUAAACUGCUUUUAGUUGGGAAUAAAACGGGGCUCGUGAGCCCCCUUGCAUGUACCAUCAGAAAAAGGACCGGCUAAUUCCGUGCCAGCAGCCGCGGUAAUACGGAAGGUUCGGGCGUUAUCCGGAUUUAUUGGGUUUAAAGGGAGCGCAGGCGGACCUUUAAGUCAGCUGUGAAAUACGGCGGCUCAACCGUCGAACUGCAGUUGAUACUGGAGGUCUUGAGUGCACACAGGGAUGCUGGAAUUCAUGGUGUAGCGGUGAAAUGCUCAGAUAUCAUGAAGAACUCCGAUCGCGAAGGCAGGCAUCCGGGGUGCAACUGACGCUGAGGCUCGAAAGUGCGGGUAUCAAACAGGAUUAGAUACCCUCGUAGUCCGCACAGUAAACGAUGAAUACUCGCGGUUUGCGAUACAGUGUAAGCCGCCAAGCGAAAGCGUUAAGUAUUCCACAUGGGGAG
rnacentral:rRNA from 1 species